AUUUUUGGUUUAAAUUAAUUUUUAAAAGUUUUUGAAUGAUUAAUAAUAAUAAUAAUAAUGAUACAAUCAAUGCUUAAAAGUUUUCAAUAGGACUUUCAAAUUCAAAUUUUCUACCAAUAAAAGAACACAAUCAAACGCAAAUAGGCUUUAUAAUAAAGAGAACCACCAUCAUAUCUAGGAUUUGUUCCAAUCGAAUGAGUUAUUAAAGAGAUUCAAUAAAAUAAACUCCACAACAAGCAAAGGUACCUCCAUAAAGGGAGUCAAACUUGCAAUAAAAUUCCAUGAAGAGGUGCUAAACACUCUAGAUUCAUCAACAUUAAUAAAUUAGAGGGACUAAAUUUAAGAUUUGGUCCAAACAAACACAAAUUUGAAAAUUAUUUAAAGAAAAAAUUGAAAAAAAUAUAAAGAAAAAUCAAGAGGAAGGAGAAACUCGAAAAAAAGAAAGUAAGAAAGGUGAAAAGAGAGAAAAUGAAAUAGUAAGAAAAGGAGGUGAAAGCUUUAAUUUAAUAAUUCAAUAAUAUUUCACUUGUUAUUUGUGAAUUAAGGUGCA
rnacentral:misc_RNA from 1 species